GCGGUCCGGCCGGGAACUCAAAGGAGACUGCCAGUGAUAAACUGGAGGAAGGUGGGGAUGACGUCAAGUCAUCAUGGCCCUUACGACCAGGGCUACACACGUGCUACAAUGGCGCAUACAAAGAGAAGCGACCUCGCGAGAGCAAGCGGACCUCAUAAAGUGCGUCGUAGUCCGGAUUGGAGUCUGCAACUCGACUCCAUGAAGUCGGAAUCGCUAGUAAUCGUGGAUCAGAAUGCCACGGUGAAUACGUUCCCGGGCCUUGUACACACCGCCCGUCACACCAUGGGAGUGGGUUGCAAAAGAAGUAGGUAGCUUAACCUUCGGGAGGGCGCUUACCACUUUGUGAUUCAUGACUGGGGUGAAGUCGUAACAAGGUAACCGUAGGGGAACCUGCGGUUGGAUCACCUCCUUACCUUAAAGA
rnacentral:rRNA from 1 species